CCUACGGGAGGCAGCAGUCGAGAAUCAUUCACAAUGGGGGAAACCCUGAUGGUGCGACGCCGCGUGGGGGAAUGAAGGUCUUCGGAUUUUAAACCCCUGUCAUGUGGGAGCAAAUUAACAAGAUCGUACCACAAGAGGAAGAGACGGCUAACUCUGUGCCAGCAGCCGCGGUAAUACAGAGGUCUCAAGCGUUGUUCGGAAUCACUGGGCGUAAAGCGUGCGUAGGCUGUUUGGUAAGUCGUGUGUGAAAGGCGCGGGCUCAACCCGCGGACGGCACAUGAUACUGCGAGACUAGAGUAAGGGAGGGGGAACCGGAAUUCUCGGUGUAGCAGUGAAAUGCGUAGAUAUCGAGAGGAACACUCGUGGCGAAGGCGGGUUACUGGACAGUAACUGACGCUGAGGCACGAAGGCCAGGGGAGCGAAAGGGAUUAGAUACCCUUGUAGUC
rnacentral:rRNA from 1 species